GUUGUUAUACAAUUGACCUUUAACCUUACUACCCAACCUAUUACUACGUUAUAUAUUACCCAGAUUGCUUAUGUUGUUGUAACUUACUUCCGGUUUCUAUUACUUUGUUUGUUAGUUAAAUACUUAGUUAUCAUUGAUUAUGUUUCACCGUCUUAACACAAGACAGAAUAGGAACUAGACAUUGUGUAUUGUUAUUGAUACUACAGCCUGAUGUAGCUGGCGGUGUUCCAGUGUUCCAGUAAUGUUACAGCGCUGUAUAUAUCCCUGUGACACAGAGGUAAACGUAGAGCUCUGUCAAUUACGCCGACUGCAAAACAACACAUCCAUGUUUAUUUAAUGUGUUCUGCUGAUAUCAAAGUGAAACCAUUUGAUGGAUUUAUAGACACGAGCACCUAACGGCCGACGAUGACAUUUGUUUCUAUCUAUAGCAGUUGAGUUGUUUUACAAUUCAUAAUUGUGGUAAUAUAAUAAAGAUCCAUUAAUGAUGAUUUGAUUGAUAAUACACCACAGGGUUACAUUGUUAUUAGUUUGUCCAUGUGAUGAGUUGACCAUUUGAGUUAUGUCUCAACUGGUCACUGUUAAAAAAAGAUUAAUGUUCUUAUUUUAUUUAAUUGAUUUUGUUUUGACAAAAUGAGCAAUGAGGUUAUUUUAUAUUGGGCUUGACUUUAAAAAGGAGCAAUGAUAAAUUUUACAAUAGAUAAUUGGAUUAUAUUACGUAUGGUCAUUGCAAAUAUCUCACAAUUAACCACUGGUAUUAUAUUACAGAAGAACUUUGAAGGGAGCAAGGCAAUAUGCACACUUGAUGAUUGAAGACUUUCGAUUCCUAUUCCAGGCUUUCCUAUUAUUCGGGUUAUUUUACAGUCAGUGUAUUGAACCAAUUUCACAAUUGACCUUGGUAGUUCUUUUCUAUUUUAGAAAUGUUUGGUCGUAGAUGAUGGUAAUUCAGUGAAAUAUUUGUGUGAGUAGCUCACUGAAUGCUGUGGGUACCUUCCGAGGAGCAGUUGAUGGAAGACAGUUGUUAUGAUUGAUAACAAAAGUCAGAACCUUUGAUGUCGGCGUAGAAGGAUGUUUAUACAGCGAUUCUGUUCACUGACCCGGCUACAGUAGCUGUUCUGGUGAAGGAGGAACAGACAAAGUUACAAUUCCUAUUACAAAAAUACACCAA